UCUUCGGAGUCUGGGGUGGUCGUGAAGAUCCCGGACGAGCCCCCAAAUGAAAGAUCCCUGAAGAGAGACCCUUACUCAAGUCUUGGGUAAUCGCGGACCCCAGACACAGAGAGACCA
rnacentral:pre_miRNA from 14 species